rnacentral:rRNA from 1 species
UACGGGGGGGGCAAGCGUUGUUCGGAAUUACUGGGCGUAAAGGGCGCGUAGGCGGCCUUCUAAGUCGGACGUGAAAUCCCUCGGCUCAACCGAGGAAGUGCGUCCGAUACUGAAAGGCUUGAAUCCGGGAGAGGGAUGUGGAAUUCCAGGUGUAGCGGUGAAAUGCGUAGAUAUCUGGAGGAACACCGGUGGCGAAGGCGACAUCCUGGACCGGUAUUGACGCUGAGGCGCGAAAGCCAGGGGAGCAAACGGG